CGAUUAUCUGGGAAGUUUCAGGUCUUCAGACUUUUAUUUCUAUGGUGAAACUUAUUCUAAUUUCCAGCCCAAGAUUCUGGAACACAUCUCCCAUUAUGAAGUGGGCCUCAGGGUGGGAGUGGAAGCAGAACCUCUUGUUCACACUCCACACCCUCAUUUUCCAGCAGUGAAGGUAGACUAUUAAGGCUCUCAUGUCAUCAAGGAUGGAGGCAAUGGGAUAAUGGAGAUUCUAGACAUUUGUUUCGUCACCAGCGAAAAUUAAAUGAAGACUCAGGAAUCACUACAGCUACAGGGAUGAGAAGGACAUUUCAGCAGCUACAGUGUGGUGCUUCUACUGAGAUACCAGGAAAAUUCCAACAUAGGAAACAACAGGUGUUAGUGCCAGAAAGGCUGGGAAUUAUGCAAGACUGCCAUUUGUAGAGCACAACCUUGCAGCAGUAUGACAAAUGCUGAGGAUGCCUGUGUGUGAAGCUGCAUGUUUUAUGCAUGCCACCAGGCCAGAUCAAGUCUUGGCAUGCCAUUACCAACGAGCUGUGAAGCUGAAGGAAUCUUUUCUAAACUAUUGAUUCUAAAGAACAAGUUUUGAUCAACUCUGCUAGAGGAAUGUCUGAACAAGUUUUCUAUUCUCUGUGGAAACAGACCUUACAAAAAUCACUGUCAUGGGGAGGCUAAGCAACGACUAUGUAAUCCAAGAGUGUAGAAAAAAGUAUUAGGAAAUUAACUGUUCAGAAUAUUAUGCUAUUUUGAUUUUAAUUUUAUUUGUAGUAUCCAUCAGUUUUACAUUUAAUAAUUUACAGUAAAUUACUUUUCUCAUUCUAAUUACAUAUUUAUGUGUGAACUUAAUUAAAUGAAUAAAAGUUAGAUUCUAAAUCUAAUUUCUAAAUUGGGCUUGUUGCAUAUGGCUCCUUGCUUUCCUUUUCUUUGUUAAUUCACUUUUUACGAGAGCAUUUUAAAGUUUUUCUCUCCUUUCUUCAGUUGUAAUUGUGACAGCUUUGACUUAAAAUUAAUUCAUUGCUUAAAACAAAUGCCCUCGUCGUCUGUUUUAUUUUUUAAGUUAUAGUGUUCAAAUGCAUUUAUCAAAC
rnacentral:lncRNA from 1 species